GAAUCAAUGAUGAAAAAAUGUCUUUCAUUUUGAAUAAGAAAGCAAAGAUUUCAAAGGAGAGUAUUUUUUUCUUAAAUAAUUGAAACUGUAGUAAAAAUAUAAAGGUUUAAAAUAAAAAUAUGAACAGCCUCUUAUGAUAGUUUGAUUCCAUCUUAUAAAGCAAUCUUUGUUAACUUGAGAUAAAGGAUAAAGUUUCUAAAACUACACAAUUUAGGGUCUUUUUCAUUUUAUGUGGCUAUGGUAAUGAAAGAUGAGAGGAAACUUGUAUAUACUAAUGGUAAAAUGCACCCUGCAAUAUAUGCUAAUAGAUACCUCAGAAAUAGAAGACAGUACUGGUGAACUUUUAAUGCUCUUUUUAUGGGCUUAAAU
rnacentral:lncRNA from 1 species